UACAGAGGAUGCAAGCGUUAUCCGGAAUGAUUGGGCGUAAAGCGUCUGUAGGUGGCUUUUUAAGUCCGCCGUCAAAUCCCAGGGCUCAACUCUGGACAGGCGGUGGAAACUACCAAGCUGGAGUACGGUAGGGGCAGAGGGAAUUUCCGGUGGAGCGGUGAAAUGCGUAGAGAUCGGAAAGAACACCAACGGCGAAAGGCAACUCUGCUGGGCCGACACUGACACUGAGAGACGAAAGCUAGGGGAGCGAAUGGG
rnacentral:rRNA from 1 species